UCAAGUUCAUCUAAGGAUUAGCCCGCCGUAUUAAUAACAAAAACCUACAUACCGAUAGAAUCGUAUAAAGUAUUUGAAAGGAGAACUACGAGAAAGCAGGAAAGCAGGGACUGAUGCAGUCGAUGAUCAUACGAAGGUGGAUGAGCAAUUUCAGGGAUAGCAAUACCAGCUGACCUGAAGAAAGAAGUUAGCAAGAACAUACUUCAAAUUUCAAAUUGACCAACCAUAUGCUCUCCUCUGAAGAGGCAUAUUUUGAAACAGUAAAUUCGUGUUGAAAGCAAAGCUGAAAAGUUGACGACAAUAGAGAAGUCAAGUUAGAGAAAGAGUUCGGUAAUUCAAUUUCGUAAUUUAAGCCCAACUCGCUUAGUAGUGGUUUUAAAUCGUCUACGGUUUGAGAGAAGUCUUUUUGAAAAUACGUGCGCACCCAAUUGCUGGAGUUAGUAGAUUCAUAGAGAUAUGGUAACAGCCGUGUAAGAAUUAGGAAGCUAUUUAGUAAAGCAUUCUUUUUUAAAGGAUACUGCUCUGAAAACUUGUUUUGAAUUGAAACGAUGUUAAGGACACAAACUUGCAACAAUAUGGCUAAAUUGUCAAACUUGUUGCUAUCCCUGCAAAUGCGUAUGUCCUGAGCAAGAAUAAAACUGAAAACAUCAUUUUCAGUCAAGUUGCAGGUAAAUAACUGCUAUGUUAACAAUUUCCAAAGUGUACCAACUUACAAACUCGUAAAUUUCACGCUCGGGCUUAGUAUUUAAAGAAGCAAGGAUUGCAUGACGAAAAGAAAUUCUAUAAACAAAAGGCAUUAGUAAUCGAAAUACCGAACAAAACGAGUACUAACUUGGAUUCCGCGGAUCCCAUUGAUUACAAUAUAAUGCUAAAUAUGAAAGUUUAGAUUUGAGAAAGGAAAUGCUUUAAUUCACAACACGCCUUUAGAAAUAAGAGCAAUCAACUUCUGCAAAAUAUGCUUUCUGUUCGAUGUCGGAAAUUGUCUUUAAAAGCUUUAGUAACUGGUAUAGUCCAAAAUG